UGAUGAUGAAGAUAUCCAAGACAAAAUAAUUGAAGAACUCAACUUGUAUCAAGAUCAGCAUGGGAGUUUUGGACACGAAAUUGCCGUAAGGCAGCGAAAGAACAAAAAUUUCAAUCCAGCAAAAUGGUGGCUGAACCAUGGCACAAGCACACCAAAUCUUAGGAAGUUGGCUGCAAGGAUUUUGAGUUUGACCUGCAGCUCCUCAGCUUGUGAGAGGAACUGGUCAGUUUUUGAACAGGUUCAUACAAAGAAGCGCAACAGGCUACUUCAUGAAAGGAUGCGAGAUCUGGUGUUUGUUAAAUUUAACUCCAAGUUAAGAAAUAAGAGAGAGAACAAGGGUAGAGAUCCUAUAGAGAAGGAAGUGGAUGAUGUUGUGGCAGAUGGUGACAAUGAAUUCAUUACUGGUGUUGUGCCUUCAUCAAGUGAAAUGGAUCAACAAUGUGCAAAAGAGUCACAGCAGCACACAACACCACAAGCACCAGCACCAGCUAAAAGGAAAAGGCCUGUGCACGCUAAGAAGAGGAAAGUCAGAAGCCUACAGUCUUUGAUGCGCAAUGCCCCAGUGCAUCCUGAAGCUCCAUCAUCCGACUCAGAAGAUUGUGAUGAUGGUAUUCCAAUGCAGACUUCUGAUUCUGAUAAGUCACCCUCUCCCUCUCCCUUUGUCUCUUAGACCGAUGAUUGAUGACUAGAAGAAAUGAAGAUUGCAAUAUUGCCUCAUAUUAGUAAUUUAGUAUCCACUAUCCAGAA